rnacentral:rRNA from 1 species
ACGGGUGAGUAACGCGUGGGAAUCUACCCAUCUCUACGGAAUAACGCAUGGAAACGUGUGCUAAUACCGUAUACGUCCUUCGGGAGAAAGAUUUAUCGGAGAUGGAUGAGCCCGCGUUGGAUUAGCUAGUUGGUGGGGUAAAGGCCUACCAAGGCGACGAUCCAUAGCUGGUCUGAGAGGAUGAUCAGCCACACUGGGACUGAGACACGGCCCAGACUCCUACGGGAGGCAGCAGUGGGGAAUAUUGGACAAUGGGCGCAAGCCUGAUCCAGCCAUGCCGCGUGAGUGAUGAAGGCCCUAGGGUUGUAAAGCUCUUUCACCGGUGAAGAUAAUGACGGUAACCGGAGAAGAAGCCCCGGCUAACUUCGUGCCAGCAGCCGCGGUAAUACGAAGGGGGCUAGCGUUGUUCGGAUUUACUGGGCGUAAAGCGCACGUAGGCGGACUAUUAAGUCAGGGGUGAAAUCCCGGGGCUCAACCCCGGAACUGCCUUUGAUACUGGUAGUCUUGAGUUCGAGAGAGGUGAGUGGAAUUCCGAGUGUAGAGGUG